rnacentral:ncRNA from 2 species
GUUUUUUGUAGAUUUCAAGGUGUCCGUGCGGAAGAAAUUUCGGCCGGGCUAAAUAGGGGAAGCGAGAGUUUGUCCGUCAAAUUUGACGGCAAAUGGCUCCGCGGUGCCGCCACUGUCAGCGGUUCGAGUUUCGGACUUGCCAGUCAGAAUACCAGCCUUGAAUUAACCAACAAA